AACGCGAAGAACCUUACCUGGGCUCGAACGGCUGGUCAACGCCGGUGGAAACAUCGGUACCCCGCAAGGGGGUCCAGUCGAGGUGCUGCAUGGCUGUCGUCAGCUCGUGUCGUGAGAUGUUGGGUUAAGUCCCGCAACGAGCGCAACCCUUGUCCUGUGUUGCCAUCAUUCAGUUGGGAACUCGCAGGAGACCGCCAGCGAUAAGCUGGAGGAAGGUGGGGAUGACGUCAAGUCCUCAUGGCCUUUAUGUCCAGGGCUACACACGUGCUACAAUGGACGGUACAAAGCGCUGCAAACCCGCAAGGGGGAGCCAAUCGCAAAAAACCGUUCUCAGUUCGGAUUGCAGGCUGCAACUCGCCUGCAUGAAGCUGGAAUCGCUAGUAAUGGCAGAUCAGCACGCUGCCGUGAAUACGUUCCCGGGUCUUGUACACACCG
rnacentral:rRNA from 1 species